UACGGAGGGGGCAAGCGUUAUCCGGAAUCACUGGGUUUAAAGGGUGCGUAGGCGGCGCAGUAAGUCAGAGGUGAAAGCCUGCAGCUCAACUGUAGAAUUGCCUUUGAUACUGCUGCGCUUGAAUCAGGUUGAGGUUGGCGGAAUGUGGCAUGUAGCGGUGAAAUGCAUAGAUAUCCCAUAGAACACCAAUUGCGAAGGCAGCUGACUGGGCCUGAAUUGACGCUGAGGCACGAAAGCGUGGGGAGCAAACACG
rnacentral:rRNA from 1 species